rnacentral:lncRNA from 1 species
UGUAACCACAUAGCCAGCUGGGGACUUAGGAAAUAUGGAAUCUUGUGACUCUAGUGAAAAUCCAAGACCAGGAAUCACGUGAUUCUAUACUUUUAUGGAAAAAAGAUGAUUUGGAAGACUGGACUCUAAUUUCAUGUUUGCGUAAAUCCUAAAAUCGUCAAGUUUUCACAGAUGUAAUGCACAGAAUCUCACAUCAUUUGCAAGAUGGAUGAUACCAAUUGGAAAGAAUAGAGGCCGGAUGACAAGGUGUAACUGUCAGAAUACAGGAAAAGCCAAUAUGAAGCACCAUGUUCCAGUUUCUUCACGGGCAGCUUGUCUCAUCCUCAUCUAUCCCAAUCCCAAAUUGGAUCCCAAAAUGCCUCUUGCAUCCCAAAAGAUUGAAGCCAAACUGAUUUUUCUAAGAUAUGGUUAUCAUUCUACUCAAUUCUUUAACCAGAAUGUGAACCAGCUUGAACAAGGACCCUGGGGAAUGGCAGAGCCUCCAAAUAGAAGCAAUCUAUAUUCCUGAAAGAUGUUCAGAAGAGGAGGUGCCUCCCUGUCUAUGUAUUUCUGGAAUGUUAUGCAAGAGAUAAGUACAGUUCAUUUUUUAAAAAUCUCAAUAUUGGGUCUCUUUGUUUUGGCAGCUAAGCCUGCAACCUAACAAAUAAGUAUUUUAAGUUACAUGGACAAGGCAGGCCUUUCUGAGCAGAGACCAGAGACUAAGAAAGCAGAGAUUGCAGCGAGGCGGUAUGGUAUACUGAGAGUUUUAAAGUAAAGUUAGAGGUAAAAUUUGGGGGCAGGUACUUGUUUUGAGAGGCAAUUCCAGGAAGCACAGAUGAAGGAAUGGGGAAAGAAAGGCGGGGAAAUAGAUAAAAGCAUGCCAGUGAGCAGGUCACCCCUAAGACCAGCAGGAGCUCCAUUCCAUUCAAGAUCCCCUGAGGUACUUUAUGGAGCAUAUCUCAGAAUACUCCCCUUCCUCCAAGAAAUGAGAGACAAGGUGAACCCACCAUCUCCUUCUCCCACAGAGAAUUUUCUCCGGAGGCAUUAAAGACCUGGCACCUUUAAACUUCCCCCUGCAAAAACUGAGCAAGCCCCAGACACAAAUCAGUGGAAGGUCUCAGGCUGACAAGUGUAGAUACCAGAUGUCUGUGGCAG